rnacentral:lncRNA from 1 species
UCGUCCAGCGGAAAAUGGCCACAAAAACGGGUGGGCUAUACCCUUGGGGGGUGGGGCUGGCCGAUUUCGUCCGCCGGACUCGGAAUGCCGCGAGACUUUGCGAGGGGCUUCCGUGUGCCAAAAAUAGGCCACGGGCAAAGCCGCGCCCAUAAAUAACCGCCCGAAGGCCGGGGCGCCAAGUUCGUCCAGCGGAAAAAGGCCACAAAAACGGGUGGGCUAUAGCCAUGGGGGGUGGGGCUGGCCAACCUCGUCCGCCGGACUUGUAAUACCGCGAGAAUUUGAGAGGGGCCUCCGUGUGCAAAAAAUAGGCCGCGGGCAAAGCCGCGCCCAAAAAUAACCUCCCGAAGGCCGGGGCACCCAGUUCGUCCAGCGGAAAAAGGCCACAAAAACGGAUGGGCUAUAGCCUUGGGGGGUGGGGCUGGCCCACUUCAUCCGCCGGACUCGGAAUGCCGCGAGACUUUGCGAGGGGCCUCCGUGUGCCAAAAAUAAAACGCGGACAAAGCCGCGCCCAAAAAUAACCGCCCGAAGGCCGGGGCGCAAAGUUCGUCCAGCGGAAAAAGGCCACAAAAAUGGGUGGGCUAUAGCCUUGGGGGGUGGGGCGGCCCCCUUCGUCCGCCGGACUCGGAAUGCCGCGAGACUUUGCGAGGGGCCUCCGUGUGCGAAAAAUAGGCCGCGGGCAAAGCCACGCCCAAAAAUAACCGCCCGAAGGCCGGGGCGCCAAGUUCGUCCAGCGGAAAAAGCCCACAAAAACGGGUGGGCUAUAGCCUUGGGGGGUGGGGCUGGCCAAUUUCGUCCGCCGGACUCGGAAUGCCGCGAGACUUUGCGAGGGUUCUCCGUGAGCCAAAAACAGGCCUCGGUGAAAGCCGUGCCCAAAAAUAACUGCACGAAGGCCGGGGUGCCAUGUUCGUCCAGCGGAAAAAGCCCACAAAAACGGGUGGGCUAUAGCCUUGGGGGGUGGGGCUGGCCAACUUCGAUCGCCGGACUCGGAAUGGAGCGAGACUUUGCGAGGGGCCUCCGUGUGCCAAAAAUAGGCCGCGGGCACAGCCGCGCCCAAACAUUACCGCCCGAAGCCCGGGGUGCCAAGUUCGUCCAGCGGAAAAAGGCCACAAAAACGGGUGGGCUAUAGCCAUGGGGGGUGGGGCUGGCCAACCUCGUCCGCCGGACUCGCAAUACCGCGAGAAUUUGAGAGGGGCCUCCGUGUGCAAAAAAUAGGCCGCGGACAAAGCCGCGCCCAAAAAUAACCUCCCGAAGGCCGGGGCACCCAGUUCGUCCAGCGGAAAAAGGCCACAAAAACGGAUGGGCUAUAGCCUUGGGGGGUGGGGCUGGCCCACUUCAUCCGCCGGACUCGGAAUGCCGCGAGACUUUGCGAGGGGCCUCCGUGUGCCAAAAAUAAGACGCGGACAAAGCCGCGCCCAAAAAUAACCGCCCGAAGGCCGGGGCGCAAAGUUCGUCCAGCGGAAAAAGGCCACAAAAACGGGUGGGCUAUAGCCUUGGGAGGUGGGGCGGCCCCCUUCGUCCGCC